GGUUAAGCGACUAAGCGUACACGGUGGAUGCCCUGGCAAUCAGAGGCGAUGAAGGACGUGCUAAUCUGCGAAAAGCGUCGGUAAGGUGAUAUGAACCGUUAUAACCGGCGAUGUCCGAAUGGGGAAACCCAGUGCAAUUCGUUGCACUAUCGUUAACUGAAUACAUAGGUUAACGAGGCGAACCGGGGGAACUGAAACAUCUAAGUACCCCGAGGAAAAGAAAUCAACCGAGAUUCCCCCAGUAGCGGCGAGCGAACGGGGAGCAGCCCAGAGUCUGAAUCAGCUUGUGUGUUAGUGGAACGGUCUGGAAAGUCCGACGGUACAGGGUGAUAGUCCCGUACACCAAAAUGCACAGGUUGUGAACUCGAAGAGUAGGGCGGGACACGUGGUAUCCUGUCUGAAUAUGGGGGGACCAUCCUCCAAGGCUAAAUACUCCUGACUGACCGAUAGUGAACCAGUACCGUGAGGGAAAGGCGAAAAGAACCCCGGCGAGGGGAGUGAAAAAGAACCUGAAACCGUGUACGUACAAGCAGUGGGAGCACCUUCGGGUGUGACUGCGUACCUUUUGUAUAAUGGGUCAGCGACUUAUAUUCUGUAGCAAGGUUAACCGUAUAGGGGAGCCGCAGGGAAACCGAGUCUUAACUGGGCGUUAAGUUGCAGGGUAUAGACCCGAAACCCGGUGAUCUAGCCAUGGGCAGGUUGAAGGUUGGGUAACACUAACUGGAGGACCGAACCGACUAAUGUUGAAAAAUUAGCGGAUGACUUGUGGCUGGGGGUGAAAGGCCAAUCAAACCGGGAGAUAGCUGGUUCUCCCCGAAAGCUAUUUAGGUAGCGCCUCGUGAACUCAUCUUCGGGGGUAGAGCACUGUUUCGGCUAGGGGGUCAUCCCGACUUACCAACCCGAUGCAAACUACGAAUACCGAAGAAUGUUAUCACGGGAGACACACGGCGGGUGCUAACGUCCGUCGUGAAGAGGGAAACAACCCAGACCGCCAGCUAAGGUCCCAAAGUCAUGGUUAAGUGGGAAACGAUGUGGGAAGGCACAGACAGCCAGGAUGUUGGCUUAGAAGCAGCCAUCAUUUAAAGAAAGCGUAAUAGCUCACUGGUCGAGUCGGCCUGCGCGGAAGAUGUAACGGGGCUAAACCAUGCACCGAAGCUGCGGCAGCGACACUAUGUGUUGUUGGGUAGGGGAGCGUUCUGUAAGCCUGCGAAGGUGUGCUGUGAGGCAUGCUGGAGGUAUCAGAAGUGCGAAUGCUGACAUAAGUAACGAUAAAGCGGGUGAAAAGCCCGCUCGCCGGAAGACCAAGGGUUCCUGUCCAACGUUAAUCGGGGCAGGGUGAGUCGACCCCUAAGGCGAGGCCGAAAGGCGUAGUCGAUGGGAAACAGGUUAAUAUUCCUGUACUUGGUGUUACUGCGAAGGGGGGACGGAGAAGGCUAUGUUAGCCGGGCGACGGUUGUCCCGGUUUAAGCAUGUAGGCUGGUUAUCCAGGCAAAUCCGGAUAAUCAAGGCUGAGGUGUGAUGACGAGGCACUACGGUGCUGAAGUAACAAAUGCCCUGCUUCCAGGAAAAGCCUCUAAGCAUCAGGUAACAUCAAAUCGUACCCCAAACCGACACAGGUGGUCAGGUAGAGAAUACCAAGGCGCUUGAGAGAACUCGGGUGAAGGAACUAGGCAAAAUGGUGCCGUAACUUCGGGAGAAGGCACGCUGGUGUGUAGGUGAAGUCCCUGCGGAUGGAGCUGAGACCAGUCGAAGAUACCAGCUGGCUGCAACUGUUUAUUAAAAACACAGCACUGUGCAAACACGAAAGUGGACGUAUACGGUGUGACGCCUGCCCGGUGCCGGAAGGUUAAUUGAUGGGGUUAUCCGUAAGGAGAAGCUCUUGAUCGAAGCCCCGGUAAACGGCGGCCGUAACUAUAACGGUCCUAAGGUAGCGAAAUUCCUUGUCGGGUAAGUUCCGACCUGCACGAAUGGCGUAAUGAUGGCCAGGCUGUCUCCACCCGAGACUCAGUGAAAUUGAACUCGCUGUGAAGAUGCAGUGUACCCGCGGCAAGACGGAAAGACCCCGUGAACCUUUACUAUAGCUUGACACUGAACAUUGAGCCUUGAUGUGUAGGAUAGGUGGGAGGCUUUGAAGCGUGGACGCCAGUCUGCGUGGAGCCAACCUUGAAAUACCACCCUUUAAUGUUUGAUGUUCUAACGUUGGCCCCUGACCGGGGUUGCGGACAGUGUCUGGUGGGUAGUUUGACUGGGGCGGUCUCCUCCCAAAGCGUAACGGAGGAGCACGAAGGUUAGCUAAUCCUGGUCGGACAUCAGGAGGUUAGUGCAAUGGCAUAAGCUAGCUUGACUGCGAGCGUGACGGCGCGAGCAGGUGCGAAAGCAGGUCAUAGUGAUCCGGUGGUUCUGAAUGGAAGGGCCAUCGCUCAACGGAUAAAAGGUACUCCGGGGAUAACAGGCUGAUACCGCCCAAGAGUUCAUAUCGACGGCGGUGUUUGGCACCUCGAUGUCGGCUCAUCACAUCCUGGGGCUGAAGUAGGUCCCAAGGGUAUGGCUGUUCGCCAUUUAAAGUGGUACGCGAGCUGGGUUUAGAACGUCGUGAGACAGUUCGGUCCCUAUCUGCCGUGGGCGCUGGAGAAUUGAGGGGGGCUGCUCCUAGUACGAGAGGACCGGAGUGGACGCAUCACUGGUGUUCGGGUUGUCAUGCCAAUGGCACUGCCCGGUAGCUAAAUGCGGAAGAGAUAAGUGCUGAAAGCAUCUAAGCACGAAACUUGCCCCGAGAUGAGUUCUCCCUGAGACUAUAAGUCUCCUGAAGGAACGUUAAAGACGAUGACGUUGAUAGGCCGGGUGUGUAAGCGCAGCGAUGCGUUGAGCUAACCGGUACUAAUGAACCGUGAGGCUUAACCUU
rnacentral:rRNA from 1 species